AGCGAACGCUGGCGGCAGGCCUAACACAUGCAAGUCGAACGAACCUUUCGGGGUUAGUGGCGGACGGGGGAGUAACACGUGGGAACGUGCCUUUAGGUUCGGAAUAACUCAGGGAAACUUGUGCUAAUACCGAAUGUGCCCUUCGGGGGAAAGAGUUGUCGCCGUUAGAGCGGCCUGCGUCUGAUUAGCUAGUUGGUUGAGGUAAUGGCGCCCCAAGGCGACGAGCAGUAGCUGGUCUGAGAGGCUGAUCCGGCACUUUGGGACUGAGACACGGCCCAAACUCCUACGCGAGGCAGCAGUGGGGAAUCUUGCGCAAUGGGCUGAAGCCUGACGCUGCCAUGACGCGUGAAUGAUGAAGGUCUUAGGAUUGUAAAAUUCUUUCAUCGGGGACGAUAAUGACGGUACCCGGAGAAGAAGCCCCAGCUAACUUCGUG
rnacentral:rRNA from 1 species